rnacentral:lncRNA from 1 species
AAAGGGAAAGGGAAAGCAACUGAAGAUGCUUGUAACUUCUGUUAUCCUUCUGUUUUAUAUUGACCACUUGUCUUUCUUUUCUUCAAUUCACAGCAAAGUUAGAGAGCGAAAGGGAAAGCAACCGAAUACGCUUGUAACUUCCCUAAUUACAAAUUUACCAUUUUCACUACGAAUCUCGAGGGUUUUAUUGGAAUUGAAAGAUCCCUGAUCGAUUCUGAUUCGGAAAAUGCCUUCUUCAAGUGCAGCCGAUGUUGGAUCCAUCGACCCCACAACUGCAAGAUAAAACACCAAGCAACCCAAGGCUUGAUGUAAUCUUGAAGAUCUGUAUGACCAGAGGUUUGGAGAAGCAAAGUAGCGGAUGCAAUCCAAUGGAACAGUACCAACAAUGUGAUUCCAGUACAGAUCUGGAUUGUUUGCAGAAACGAAACUUGGUGGAGAUAUGGAGGAUGUUGGCAGCAGAGGUUGUGUUUGCAGAGGUUAGAUGAAAUGGAGGAUAGCUUGAAGAGGUGAAUCACAACUCAGAAGGCCCCCACACUAGGAAGGAAGUUGCAAUGGAGAAGCAAGCAUUGAAGUGACUCUCGGACAUGAGAAAGUGUCUAUGCAUUUCAACAGAGUUUCUCUAAUAUCAUCCAAUGUGCUAAAUGUGCUAGCUUCUAGAAACCAUAUGGAGUACACAUUUAUUUUAAUUCUAAUAUAAGAAAGUUCCCGGUGCACCCUCUAUCAAGCUAAUCUCACCCCUGCAUGUGCAUAAAGGUCUCUUUUACCCCUCUCCAUGUUUUUGGGUUGUUCUUUAUUUGGUGGGCUUGGCCCCCGCAUAUCAUCCCCUCCCCCUUGGAAAGGAUUUGUCCUCAAAUCUGAUGGUUCGCCUGAGGACUUAUUUUUGUAGACUUCACUAGAAUUCCUCCAAGGUCAAAUAUCCACCUGCAAUAAGCAUUAAACAUAUCACUAAUUAGUUUUCUAUGACCCAACAAAAUAUAUAAAAGAACAUGUUUAGAAGAAGGUUUCUUAAUUUUAAAAUGUUCAAGUUUAAUACUAUGAAGAAACCUUUCUUCUUUUGAAAUUUUAUUUGUCUCUUGAGUUAGUGGUACCCAUAAAAGUAACCCUAACCCAAGUUGUGAAUUGCCAUGUAUUGAAGGUUUUAUUAUUUUUAAAGAUGGCAUGGNAAAUUCUUGGAGAGAAAAGUGAUAUUUUGGACUUUCAAAANUAAAUGAAGAAAAGUGAAAGGAUAGUAAACCUCCCCUUAAUAGUUUUGAUUCCAUUGUGGUUGGAGGAGAUAUUGCUCUUAGUUGCUUUUGUUCACUUUCUUCCACUUCUUUUCUUUCAAUUUCUUCUUUGUCUUCUCUUUCUUUUUCUUUUAUUCUCUCUUCCUCUUUUCUUCUCUCUUCUUCUCUCUCUUCUUCCUCUCUUUUUCUUCUGUCUUCUUCUAUCUCUUCCUCUCUUUUUCUUCUCUCUAAUUCUAGUCUUCUUUGAUUUUCUUCUUUCAACUUUCUUUCUUUUUCUUUUUCAUCUAUUUCCUUGUUAAGGCGCAUUUGUGCUUGAUCAUCCGCCACUUGUGAUGAUGAGAGAGGAUGAAGUACAAAUUUAUUCUCAUGAUGAUGCACAAUUAUGGUAUUGGUAAGACCAUUAUGAAUUGUUUUAUGAUCAAAUUGCCAUGGUCUUCCCAAUAAAACAUGACAAAUUUCCAUUGGAACUACAUCACAUAAAACUUUGUUUUUAAAAUUGCCAAUGGAAAUUGUUACUGUGACUUGAUCCUUGACUGUGAUAUUCCCAUCUUUAUUGAUCCAAUGUAUUUUAUAAGGUUUAGGAUGGGGUUGUACAACAAGAUUUAAUUUUUCAACUAAUCUAGUGCUACAGCAGUUAGAGCACGAACCACUAUCAACAAUGAGAGAACAAGUGUUACUUUGAAUUUGACAUCUUGUGUGAAAGAGAGUCUCUCUUUGUGAUAGUUGUUCUACACUAGAUUGGUUGUGAAAUAUUUUUUUGAUCAUGAGCAGCUAUCCUUCACAAGGAUAGACUUCCUCAGUAGUGGAUUUUUCUUGAUCACUCUCAUUCUCACUAUUGGAAGAUUCACUACUAUAACUGUCAAUGCCCCUCAAUAUGAUAGUUCUUUUGGUGGGACAUUGUGCAACUAUAUGUCCUCUUCCUAGACAUUUAAAACACUUGAUCUCACUGGUGCGAGUGUGUGAAGAGGAUUCUUGUUUAGGUUUCUCAUCAAUUUUGGCUAGAGGAUUGAAAGGCUCCUUUUCUUUUAAACCUUUUCUUUCAAAAGAAUGUUGAACUUGAGCUCUCUUAAGAGAGGUUUUUCUUAAAUUUUGUUGCUCUACCUUGAUACACAUUUGGACAAGACUAUCUAAAUCUAUAUAAGGUAGUAAUUCAACCUUAUCUCUGAUUUCAUAAUUAAGCCCACUAAAAAAUCUAGCCAUUGUGAGUUCAUCUGUUUCCUCAAUUCUUGCCCUCAUCAUAUACAACUCCAUCUUUUGUCUAUAUUGUUCUACAAACAUAUAAUUUUGUUGUAGUCUUAGGAGUUUAUCCAUAAGCUCUCUAUGGUAAUAUGAUGGAAUAUGUCUCCUCCUAAGGGCAGUGAUCAAGUCAUUCUAAUAUUGUAUUGGAGGAUUUUGGUGGCGCCUUCUUUCUUCCACUAUGGCAGUCCACCAAUACAUGGCAUACCCUUGAAAGCUUAGGGUAGCUAGGGAACCUUACUUUCUUCACUAACUUGGUGGCAAGCAAAAAGUUGCUCCACCUUCAUUUGCCAAUCUAAGAAAGCCUCUACAUCAUCCUUUCCAUGGAAAUGAGGCACGUUAAUAUUGACUUCUCUAGGGUGAGGAGGUUCUUGGAUUUCCCUCCUAUGUCUUCUAAAAGAAGAAUAGUCUCCAUCAUAAUCUCCCAUUCUAAAAUCCUCUACCUCAUGGUGAGAAUCUCCACUCCUACUUCCCCUCAUUCUCCCUUGCUCAUCUCUCAUGACUCUCAACUCAUCUUGAAUUAUGGUGAUUUGCCUUUCCCUAUCUUGUUGAGCAUAAUCCAUCUUUCUUUCAGUGUCGAUUCUCCAUUGAGUUAGCUCUCUAAGUUGUUUUGAAAUAUCUUUGAGAGUAACUUGUUCCUCAGAAUCACUAACUCUUGGAGAUUGAUGCUUUGACAUUUUGUGAUUCUAAAAGUUUUCUUGUGUUACAACUUACUUAGAUUUCACCCAAGAACAAAUUCCAGGUAAGGGAGGUGAACCACUAGGGUUGCUUAAGUACCAAGCCUUGUCCUUGCCAAAAAUGUUCUAGGCUACUUAGUAGUUAUUACUCCAAGAUUACUUCUAAGAUCACAAAAGAAGACUCAAACACAAAGCAAAGAAGUAGGACUCUAAAUUCGGACUCUAGAAGAGAUCCCUAGACGAAAAAUUGAAAACAAAUGGUAAAUUGAAGGAAACUUAAAGACAAUGGAAAUAUAAAAGUGAGGUCUCCUAGGUGAGGCUUAGACUUUGGAUCUAAGACACACUCACCGUCUACCAAUUUUUAGGUUAUGAGACUUUAAGUCAAGUUAGCAAAUGAGGGAAGAACACUUAUGAGCUCUUCCACUUCACUUGCUUGAAAUGGCCCUUUACACACAAAGAACAAAUGAACUUUUACAAGAAAGAACUAUAUGAAAUGAAAAGGAAAUGAAUUGACAAAAGGAGUAAAUGAUGUAUGCAGCUCUAGCUUCUCAAAAACAGUGAGUGAAUUGAUUGAAUUCACACUAAACUCUCAGCUGCAAGGUGAAGAUAACUGUGUAUGGAUGACUCUGCUGCUGUAUGGAUGACAGUACUGUUACUGUUUGAUGUGUCAAACGCUGCUGCAACCUUGUCCGUGAAUCCACUUCAUGACGUUGUCUCUCAAGCACUGAACUCCCUUUGAUGCUUCCUCGUGUAAUGGAUAAUCUGAACUGUAUCACACCUAUUCAAUCAACACAAAUCAUCAAUGCAAUUUACCUCACUGCUGUCAGAGAAUUGCACCCAAAAACCAGUACAGCACAUACCUUUUAUCAAACAGGUUGUGUGCAAGAGUUCCAAAAAAUUUGAAAUCAAGAGAUUAAUCAGGUAGCAAACACGGUAACACUUCAAAAGGAUCCUAAGAAUAGUUCUAAAGUAGAUUGGACCAAAAACAAUGAUUAACAGCCAAUAAAUCGAUCAAAAUAGCAGUGCUCUAGAAAUUUCACAAUCUAUUUGUCAUAAUGCCUCAAAGAACAGUGAAUUUGGAUGCAGAAAUUGGUCAAUCAGUCUCGGCAGUUUUUCAUUUUAUUGGAUGCAAUGGUUCUUUCAGCUUUUUAAUGUGUCUAUCUUAUUGUUUGGACAAUCUUGAAUGCAUUUUUUUUAAUGGAACCAAGCUUUUACUACAUCCAUGAGUACUGACCAAUCACCACAUUCAAUCUAAAUUUUGAAAAAAAGAAAAGUACUGCACUGCUACAGAUUUAACCAGAAUUUACCCAAAAUUUGGCAAGUCCUAUAGGCAUUUUGCAUAUAACAGCAACUACUCAUCUUAAACUGAUGCAAACAUGUUUGAAUGAUUAAAACAAACUUGUUUGAACACAAAUUCUGCUAAAAUUCAAGGUGUAACAAAAAUUGAGUAGGUUUGUGCUACUGCAAGCUAUUUGAAGCAACUAGGAUAGCCAAAUUUUGCAAACCAUGGUAAUUCAGUUUGAACACAACAGAAAUGAACUCAAUACAACCAAAGAAAAUUUCUCAAAAUGGCAGAAGUAUCAAUUAGAUGAUUGGCAAUGAUCUAGUGCUCAAUCCAAAACCACACGCAGAAUUAACUCAAUCAACAAUUGCAGCUCGGUUUAUUGCUAAUGUAAUUUAAGUUGGAACUUUCCAGCAAUGUCACCAGGCGAAUUGCAGAGCAAUAUCAUGCUCCUUUGGUGCUUAUUCUAGAUCAGCAUCAUGACAACUUCAAAAUAGCAACACAGACCAGAUUUAGUCAAGAAAACUCAUGACUGAUUGCUGGAACAAAAUCAACGCAACACGCUGCACAAUUUUAGCAAAGAAAUCUGAUUGAAUGACACCAAAUCAUGCACCUGAGCUAUUCAUAGAUAUGGUCAUGGCUCUUUGAUAGUGCAGAGUAUAUCAUUUUCCAAUCAAAAUUUCACAGGUGCAGCCACGUAAAACCAGAUUUGAAAGACAUUUUUAAGCAACUAUACAUGACUUAUGACACAACCAUAUAUGAUGCUCAAAUUAAAGACUCAAACAACAACAUUAACCGAUUAAAAUGCAAAGGACUCAAGCAAAAACGCAGCUAGCACAGAAAAAGACUCAAACAGAACCUAAAUCAAGAUCAAAUGAAUGGAACAGAUGGAAAACAGAUUCAAAGACAUUGCAGAAUUUGUUGACAGUACGGAAAUAGAAGAAUGACACUUAUCUCACGGUGUAGCUUGAACCUUGCUCUGAAUACCACUUGAUACAUCAAGGCUUGAUGUAAUCUUGAAGAUCCGUGUGACCAGAGGUUUGGAGAAGCAAAGUAGCGGAUGCAAUCCAAUGGAACAAUACUAGCAAUGUGAUUCCAGUACAGAUCUGGAUUGUUUGCAGAAACGAAACUUGGUNNNNNNNNNNNNNNNNNNNNNNNNNNNNNNNNNNNNNNNNNNNNNNNNNNNNNNNNNNNNNNNNNNNNNNNNNNNNNNNNNNNNNNNNNNNNNNNNNNNNNNNNNNNNNNNNNNNNNNNNNNNNNNNNNNNNNNNNNNNNNNNNNACAACUCAGAAGGCCCCCACACUAGGAAGGAAGUUGCAAUGGAGAAGCAAGCCUUGAAGUGACUCUCGGACAUGAAAAAGUGUCUAUGCAUUUCAGCAGAGUUUCUCUAAUAUCAUCCAAAAGUGAAUACAUGGGUAGCCAAGGUGAGUUUUAUAGACUCCUCAACCUUUGGCUUGGUGAUGAAAAACGUGUUCAUCUAAGAUGGAUCACGUUCCAAAUUUAUAAAACAUGUGCUAAAUGUGCUAGCUUCUAGAAACCAUAUGGAGUACAUGUUUAUUCUAUUUCUAAUAUAAGAAAGUUCCCGGUGCACCCCCUAUCAAGCUAAUCUCACCCUUGCAUGUGCAUAAAGGUCUCUUUUACCCCUCUCCAUGUUUUUGGAUUGUUCUUUAUUUGGUGGGCUUGGGCCCCGCGUAUCAUUUUCAGUGACCCUUUUCUCUAUUUUUGGUUUGUGGUAGAACUUUCGUAUUUGUUUUUGUUUGAGUUAAAUUGAGUAUGUGUUAGGGGAAAAAAGGGUUUUGGGUUUUAUUUAGGUGCUUAUGAAAGGUGUGUCGCUUGUGAUAGUUCCCGUGAUAGUAUUUAGUGCCUGAUUGUUCCUAGAUUGAUAUAACCUUUGAUGGAGUUCUAUUUCAUGAAGAUACGAUACUUUGUGGAAGCUAAUGUCCAUUUUUUUUUAUUUGAUUUGAUUUUCGGGUGUCGGUAUUUGUGUUCCAAGAGGCUUCUGAUGUGAAUCGGUGUUUGUGACUUAAUGGAGGAGUUUCAUGUAGUUGGAUAGUGUGUGAUGAUUUGACAAUAGUUUUUUUUGUUUCUUUUUGCUCUUUUAGGUAGCAACAGGAAAUUGAACUGAUUAGAGCUCUUUUUGAAAAUAUAAUGCCUUUCAGAUUCAAAGUUUACCUAGCAAGAACUUCCAGCGUGUAAGCCAAUUCUCACUCCACGAGCGGUAACACUAACCACUACGUUUUUUUAAUUCACUGCUUGUGACUAUAUGUGUACUGAAAUGCAUUUGAUUCCUUUUCUGUUGUCGUGAUAUUUCUGGUACUCAACAUUGUAUUCGUUCCAAUUGGAGUUGCUUCGCUAAUUGCUUCGAGGAAGGUUAUGUUGAGUGCUGUAAAUUUGGUGACCUUCUGCUCAUAGUUGUAUAUAAUGCUGAGUUCAACUUUCAUUUUCUUGUAUAUGUCAGGUUGUUGAAAUUGUUUUUAGGUAUGAAUCAACGUGCAUACCAAAUAAUGUUACUGACAAGGUAGCAUACAUUCAAAGUUCUGCGAGUAAAGCAUGCAACAUAACACUACAUGUAAAUCUCCUUCCCACCUAUUUAUCCAUUUCAUUUAACUCAAAUCUUUCUAUUAAAUCUGUUCCCAUGAUUUACAAUGUUAGCAAAAAGUUAAAGAUGGAGUUUUGAUGAUGUACAAAUUUGCACAAUACAAGAUCCAAGAAGACUAUUUGAAGAUUCAUUAUUGUUGAAAGCUUUUGUAAUAAUCAUAGUUGAUGUGCUUUUGCUUAGAUAUGUAAUAAGGUUUGAUUCAUGUACUCUAUAUGUGAUUAAUUUCUAUUUAGAAUCAAACACAAGUUGUUUUAAUCGAUUAAACCAAGUUAUAAUUGAUUAAAACGAGGUUGGCACUACAAACCCAAAUGGCUUUAGAAUAAUCGAUUAAUUCAGGCUUUAAUCGAUUAGCUAAUUGAUUAAAAUCAAGAAUAAUCGAUUAAUACUAGCUGUUAGAGGUUUCAAAUUUGAAAAACUAGCCAUUGUACUCAUUUUAAUCGAUUAACACUAAUAUUAGUCGAUUAAAUGCGUUAAAAUGGCUAGUUUCGAAGAAUGGAAGAACACUGGCUUGAGUCUAUAAAUUGGCUCAUUGUUUCUGCCAGAACCAACUCUUCCCUUGCGCUCUAAACAUAUGAAAUAAUUGAGAAUAGUGUGUUGUCGCUGAAGCUAAAGAAACUCUUGUUUGCAAAGCUGUGAAGUGAUACUGCGGUGACAGAGAAAUAGUUGGUUCAUCCUUGGUGUGUCUAAGGAGGUGAUUGGAAGAGUAUCAUCCUUCGUGAAGUAUUCGAAGGAGGUGUGAUGAGCUCUGUGAUUGCAAUUCAGAAAUGCAGUAUAAUGCUAGGGAAUGACCCCUAAGUCGUCUCUCAAGGACCAACUGCGGUUCAGAGUCAAGUCUAACACGAAAGGGGGGUUUUGAAAAGUGUUUUUGUAGUGAAUGCGGAAAAUUUAAAAUUCACGCUGGAACUGGACAGCUCUGACCUUUGCUCAAUGUUUUACUCAUAACUUUUUCUACAGAGCUCUAAAUGAGAUGAGGUUUUUUUUCCUGGAAAGUAGACUCAAAUAUCUUUCAUUUGACACAUAAAACGUAGCAUUUGGACCUCUGGUGUGGUUGCAGUUAUUUUUUUAAAAUCGAGUCCAGAGAGUGAAAAUGCUAAACCAAAUACUAGACUAAACAAAUAUCUAACACAGUUAAAAUUAUUAAAGGGCAAUACUAAAUUAAAGAGAUUAAAAAAAAAUUAAAAAUAUAAUGUAAAACAUUCCUAAGGCAAAAGAAAAAUAAAAAAAAAAUAAAGAUGCUUGAAAAGAAAUGGAUGGAUGAGUGACGUUCCAACUAAGGCAAAGGGUUGCACACGUAAUAAAGUUAGAAUAAAAAAAAACAUGUAUAUAUAUAAGGUUAACUAAAGAAAGAGAACCCAGCGAGCAUGUGCACAAUUUAAAGCCUAAGCUACAUUAUCCAAGCAAAAUAAAAUGGCUGAAUCAAAAUGAGAAUGAACAUUGCAUCUUUUAACACGUGCAGGUGAAACAAAAUACAAGGGGGCCGUGACUCUUUGUUGGAAUCAAAGUCAUAAAAUGCCAAAAACAAAAUGCUGCACCGUUUUCUUCAAUCAAGAAGAGUAAAUGCCUUUCUUUUUAAAUAAAAAUCACCAUCCCAUCAUUCCACCUAUUCUAUUUUUGAUUUCAUAAAAUAAGGAAAAGAAAAGAAAACUAAUCCAUACUACGCAACAACGUUGCAUCCAUUUGAAAUGACCAUGACCAAUCACCGUGUGCUACUACUGGAAUCAGCUCUUCCCAUUUCAUUCAAAGAAACCAAAAAUCUCCAAAGUAAGUGGCCCGAGAGCUACAUUUUCCUGCACCAACAAAACUUUCAGCAAAGUCUGAAUACUCUAGUGUGACGGCUGCCCCCUUGUUUCUAAUCCCUAGGCCAAGUGUGUGUCAUCCAAGAGGGUGGGGUCCACCCUAAAAAAAUAUAUAACCCUAGGGUGACAAGUGUCCUACAAUUUUGGGCUCCUACAAAAUUGCCACUAUGGCCCAUGAUGGAAAGAGUUUGUCUAAAAAGUUCUAACAAUUAAAAUUACAAUACAAUUAAAAUUUAAAACGUUUAAUUGAAGAGUCUUGAAAUUUAUUUUGUCUCCUUCCCAAUGCUCCAAAUUGUAUCUCCAAAAUUUUCCCUGCAAAUAAUAAUGCAAAUAAUUAGCUCAGAAAAUUCAAAUUAAUUAAAAUUAGAAUUUUCGGUCAAAUUAAGCAUAAUUAGAAAAACGGGAAAAUACUGGACAAUUAAGCACAAUUCCCUGAUUAAUUAUAGCACAAUAAACUAAGUGAAAUCAAUAAAAUAUCGACUCAUCACUCUGUUCCGGGACAGAUCGGCGGGGAGUCCUAGGAUCUGAUGUGGAUCAAGCUGAAACACCAAGAAGCAGCGAAAAACACGAGUUGGAAGUCGUAGACACAGCGGAAGACAAGAGAUGAGGACUACGAACCCUAGGUUUGGUGAUUUGUUCGGUAGAAAGGCUAGGUUUAGGCGUUUGGAAGGUUUUAAACGGUAAAAAGAGAGAUCUCACCGAUUGAAUCGGUGGAAUGAAGGAAAUCUCGGACUUAAUCGGUGAAAAGGAAGGUUAGGCCAGAAAUGACGAAAACAAUCGGUCCAAAGGUGAGAUAUGGUAAGGAGAAGGUGAAUCUGAGGAUUGUUUCGGUGAAAAGUGACUUACGGUGGUUGAUUUGCAAGGAGAAUGUGGAUGUGAGAUGGAAGACGAAGAUCAGGGCUCGAGUGGCGGAAACCCUAGCAAAGACGUUUCUUCGAAGGAAAAGAAUGAAGGAAUGUGAUCUGUGGUGUGAUAAGCACGAAGACAUGGCAUGGAAAGCAAAUGCUGAGGCAAGCCAUGCGGAAGCUUCGUAUUGGAACGAGUGACGUCAGAGGAUUGGUGGAUGUGGAGAAGUGAGAAAAUGAAGAAUAUUGGAAAAUGAAUGAAGUGUAAUGUGAAUGGAAGGUGGCUGAGGAAUCCCUUGGAUUCUUCAGCCUUGACUUUCAAGGAAUUAAUUCUAGAGUAUUCUCAACAGGAAAUUAAUUCAUUAUCUCAAAAGUAAUUACAAAAGGUGUGGGCAUGCCUUUAUACAGGAAUACAAGUCCCACAUACCUUACACAUAUUACAAAUGCAUAAGAAAAAUGCUAAACUAAGGAAAUUGGGCUUGGGCCCAAGUCAUCAUCCCCUCCCCCUUGGAAAGGAUUUGUCCUCAAAUUUGAUGGCUCACCUGAGGACUUAUUAUUGUAGACUCCAUAGAAGUUCCUCCUGGAUCAAAGAUUAAUCUGCAAUAAGCAUCAAACAUAUAUCUAAUUAGCUUUAUUUGACCCAAU